AAAACGACUCUCGGCAACGGAUAUCUCGGCUCACGCAUCGAUGAAGAACGUAGCAAAAUGCGAUACUUGGUGUGAAUUGCAGAAUCCCGUGAACCAUGAACGCAAGUUGCGCCCGAAGCCAUUCGGCCGAGGGCACAUCUGUCUGGGCGUCACGC
rnacentral:rRNA from 1 species